rnacentral:tRNA from 1 species
UCUAAUGUGGCAGACUAGUGCAAUGGAUUUAAGCCCCAUUUAUAAAGAAGCAAAACUAUCUUUUGUUAGAA